UUGAGCAGUAUAACGGAUUUCGUGUGGCUAGUGGGAGGAGUUCUAAUGUGGCUCAAGGAAGGCCAAGCAGCACUAAUAUAAAUAUUGGUAAUGAGCCAGCACCUACUAAAUUUAAGAUCAUGUUUACCAACUUUCUUAAGGAACGGUGUGUUACGGAGUUUAGAUCGGAGCUAGAUAGAUAUUUUUCUGAGACGUGUAUAGACGACUCGCUCGGUUUUGAUAUCUUAGAUUGGUGGAGAAUUAAUGCCGUUAACUAUCCUGUCCUUGCUGAGGUAGCACGUGAUGUGUUAGCCACCCCCAUUUCCACUGUUGCCUCGGAGUCCGCAUUUAGUACUGGAGGACGCAUAUUGGAUCCUUUUAGGAGUUCCUUGUCUCCAGAAACUGUUGAAGCUCUCAUUUGCACCCAAAAUUGGUUAAGGACCAAACCAAUUAACAUUCGGGAUUUGGAAGAAUAUAUACAGUCGAUGGACCUUGAAGACGAUCAUCUAGCUUCAUCUUCAACCGAGGCUGAUGUGAGUCUCCAUUCCCAUUCAUGCUGAAAAGUUUAUCCUUGGUUAAUCUUCAAUGGAGGUUUUUUGCUUUUGCAAAUGCUGUUGCAUGUGCCUUCUCUGUGCUGUCCUUGCUGUACUUGCAUCUACUACUUGUUCUUACAUGAUUUGGUAUGGUUGUCUACGGAUCAAGAUCUGGAAGUGGGGUUUGCAUUGCUGGAAG